CCCUGGGUUCUGGAAUGCUCACUGGGACAUCACUUCUGUCUUGCCUCAUAGGGAACAUUGGAAGAAUUGGCAGGGUUAGACAUCCUGUGGUCAGCUAGAAGUCAAGGAAUGGGUGGCGCUUACAGUAAUCAGUGCGUGGAUCACCACAUCCCUGCCGGUGGGUGAUCUCAUCUGACUAAAUCAGUGUCUUGGUAAGAGAUAUCUGCAGUCCUACAGUAUUAUUCAUGGAGGCAAGAGAUAAAAACAAUCUGUUUGUCCAUAACAGUGGGACUUCCAGAAGGCAGGAGAGAUAAGCCUGCAUGAAGAAGGAAAUUUCCACUUUAUUCCCCCAGAGGAAAGAGGAUUGGAAUAAUAAUUCCAGUUUCUCUGACUGAGGCUUAUCUAAUUGAAGAAUUAUAGAGAAGAAAUUGAGAUCACAAUAUUGGUUUUCAAAAUUCUAGUGGACAGUGUUAAAUUUCGGUGCCAAGACACUGAUAUUCUUUUGCUGUAAUACUGAGAUUAAAAAAAAAAAAAUAAACCAGGGGCGCCUGGGUGGCUCAGUGGGUUAACCCUCUGCAUUCGGCUCAGGUCAUGAUCUCAGAGUCCUGUGAUCAAGGCUGGCAUAGGCAAUGGGCUCUCUGCUCAGCAGGAAGCCUGCUUUCCCCUCCCCCUCUGCCUGCCUCUCUGCCUACUUGUGAUCUCUCUCUCUCUCUCUGUGUCAAAUAAAUGAAUAAAAUCUUUAAAAAAAAUAAACCAUCAACACCUUUAUAUACUUAUAUACUACACUUGAAGUGCUUAAGCAGAUGUAUUUCAUUGAUUAAAAAGCAUUCUUCUAUACUUCCAAAAAUCCUCAUAAACAAAAGCAACAAAAGUCAAUUGACAACACAAACUUCGUUGCAGACACAAUUCUUAUUCUAGUUCAUAGAUUUUCCAAACAAGUGGAAUAUAAACAUGACAAAAUUGAAAUUGAUACAGAUACUGAAGAAGAAAAAACCUGAAUACACUUUCUUUCAAAACAACAACAAACACUGUAACUUGUUCUUAAUGCAUUACUGAAAAAAAAAAAAAAAAAAAAAGAUUAAAGCUUUCAAAAAAGUCUCAAGUUUGCAAGCAAGAGGUAGAAUUAUUUAAAGGUGAAUGAGCCAGAGAAAAAUAUUUAGGGCUAGCUUAUAAAUAUUACUUCAUCAUUCCUCCCAAGUAGUUCAGAAGCAAAAAGAAUCUUAAUAUUUGGAAAUGUUUUCACAGAAAAUUACUGCAUGUAGUUGGUAUGAGAUCAUUGACAUGGGAUCAACCUUUUUUGUAGAUGACCAAAUAAUAUUUAAA